rnacentral:rRNA from 1 species
CCUACGGGAGGCAGCAGUGGGGAAUAUUGCACAAUGGGCGCAAGCCUGAUGCAGCCAUGCCGCGUGUGUGAAGAAGGCCUUCGGGUUGUAAAGCACUUUCAGCGGGGAGGAAGGCGGUGAGGUUAAUAACCUCAACGAUUGACGUUACCCGCAGAAGAAGCACCGGCUAACUCCGUGCCAGCAGCCGCGGUAAUACGGAGGGUGCAAGCGUUAAUCGGAAUUACUGGGCGUAAAGCGCACGCAGGCGGUCUGUCAAGUCGGAUGUGAAAUCCCCGGGCUCAACCUGGGAACUGCAUUCGAAACUGGCAGGCUAGAGUCUUGUAGAGGGGGGUAGAAUUCCAGGUGUAGCGGUGAAAUGCGUAGAGAUCUGGAGGAAUACCGGUGGCGAAGGCGGCCCCCUGGGCAAAGACUGACGCUCAGGUGCGAAAGCGUGGGGAGCAAACAGGAUUAGAUACCCGGGUAGUC